GACGAACGCUGGCGGCGUGCUUAACACAUGCAAGUCGAACGGAAAGGCCCUGCUUGCAGGGUACUCGAGUGGCGAACGGGUGAGUAACACGUGGGUGAUCUGCCCUGCACUUCGGGAUAAGCCUGGGAAACUGGGUCUAAUACCGGAUAGGAGCCAUUUUUAGUGUGAUGGUUGGAAAGUUUUUUCGGUGUAGGAUGAGCUCGCGGCCUAUCAGCUUGUUGGUGGGGUAAUGGCCUACCAAGGCGGCGACGGGUAGCCGGCCUGAGAGGGUGGACGGCCACAUUGGGACUGAGAUACGGCCCAGACUCCUACGGGAGGCAGCAGUGGGGAAUAUUGCACAAUGGGCGCAAGCCUGAUGCAGCGACGCCGCGUGGGGGAUGACGGCCUUCGGGUUGGAAACUCCUUUCGCUAGGGACGAAGCUUUUUGUGACGGUACCUAGAUAAGAAGCACCGGCUAACUACGUG
rnacentral:rRNA from 1 species